CCAGAGAAGAGGAAAUGGGGAAUCGUCAUGCCAAAGAGAGAAGCCAUCACCACGGCUUUGAUGCAGACCGAGAUGCCAAAAAGCUGUACAAAGCCUGCAAAGGAAUGGGAACGGAUGAAGCAGCCAUCAUUGAAGUCUUAUCCAGCAGGACAUCGGAGGAGAGGCAACAGAUAAAGCAGAAGUACAAGGAGAAGUAUGGCAAGGACUUAGAGGAGGUGCUUAACAGUGAACUGAGUGGAAACUUCAAGAAGACAGCUUUGGCCCUUCUGGAUCGGCCCAAUGAGUACGCCGCACGGCAGCUGCAGAAAGCUAUGAAGGGCGUAGGCACCGACGAGGCCAUGCUCAUAGAGAUCCUAUGCACACGAAGCAACAAGGAAAUUGUCGCCAUCAAAGAAGCUUACCAAAGGCUAUUUGGCAGGAGCCUUGAAUCUGAUGUCAAAGAAGACACAAGUGGAAACCUGAGAAAGAUUCUGGUGUCCCUGUUACAGGCUCAUUGGCAAAGACAUGGAAGAAACCAUUGAAGAAGAGACAUCGGGAGACUUGAAGAAGGCCUAUUUAACUAUAGUGAGAUGUGCCCAGGACCUUGAGGGCUAUUUUGCUGACCUACUAUACAAGGCCAUGAAGGGUAUGGGGACAGAUGAGGAGACAUUAAUUCGCAUCAUUGUGACCAGAGCAGAGGUGGACCUGCAGGGGAUAAAGGCCAAGUUCCAGGAGAAGUAUCAGAAGUCUCUCUCUGACAUGGUUCACUCAGAUACCUCUGGGGACUUCCGGAAACUGCUGGUAGCUCUCUUGCACUGAUCCAAGCCUGAGGAGAAACCCCCAUAGCAGGAUUCUUCCUCGGAACAAAUCAAAUUUGGAAAUGGGUGAAAACCCUUCACCCCCUGGAUUGUUUAUUCAUGGAUUUAAAAGGAGCCCCAAGGCUAAAUUGUCGAAGUCGGGAGCAGCCUCCUCCAAGGGCUUGAACAGUUCACCUUGAAUGCUGGCUUAGCAGGAACCUGAACUGCCUGCCUUCCAGUCUCCCUUUAGCAUUUGAAGCGAAUGCUUUCUAAGCACAAAUGGAAUCAGCAGUUGGUGGGGGGAAGAACCCGAACAUUUAUAAUAAAAUGUUUAGAAAAUUAUAUGCCUCCCAGAUGUACAGAGCCAAAGCAGAGGUUAAAUGGCUAAUGCGGCGUAAAGACAAGAUUAAACGGUUUGCUCAUUU
rnacentral:misc_RNA from 7 species